GAGUUCGCGGGAGAGUAAGUUAUUGCCAGGGUUUUUAUUUUAUACUUUAAACAUUGAUUUUAUUUUUUAUGUUUUUAGAUGUUCAUGUUUUUGAAUGUUUUAUUCGAAUAAUAUAAAAAAUAAAUUAUAUAUAUUGACAUGGAUUAAACAAAGAUAUAUUUAUUCUAUGUUGUAUAAACAAAUUGGCAAAAUAGAGAUGGAAGAUAAAAAUAUGGUCAAAGUAAUAAGAGUCUAUGGUGAAUGCC
rnacentral:misc_RNA from 1 species